GGAAUGUAGUGAGACUGUAGCAACAGAUUGGAUUUUAAAGAUACAGGAUGACCCUUGGGGACCACGUCUUCUUUUCCCAGCUGCUUGACCACCUAUACAUUUGUACAAUUUAUCUUUAACCUUAUGGAAGAAACACUAAGUUGGCAGAGCUUACAAAGUAAUAUUGACUUAAGCUGAUUCCUAGAAUACCAUGUGUCUUCAGCACAGAGAGCCAUAUAAAACACUCAAAGAAAAGAUCUUAGUAAAUUCUUAAAAAGUCUGUAUCAAUGUCAUCUGACAACAGCUAAAGAACAGUUCUCUUCCUAAGCUAAAAUGAAACUAGAGAACACCAUUCAGCAAAGUAAUCUUUCCAACCAGGCCUCCCUAUUCCCUGAGACACAAUAAUAUUGAAA